CCUACGGGCGGCAGCAGUGGGGAAUAUUGCACAAUGGGGGCAACCCUGAUGCAGCAACGCCGCGUGAAGGAAGACGGUUUUCGGAUUGUAAACUUCUGUUCUUAGUGAAGAAUAAUGACGGUAGCUAAGGAGCAAGCCACGGCUAAAUACGUGCCAGCAGCCGCGGUAAUACGUAGGUGGCCAGCGUUGUCCGGAAUUACUGGGUGUAAAGGGAGCGCAGGCGGGAAGCCAAGUCAGCUGUGAAAACUACGGGCUUAACUUGUAAACUGCAGGUGAAACUGGUUUGCUAGAGUGAAGUAGAGGGUGGCGGAAUUCCGAGUGUAGCGGUGAAAUGCGUAGAGAUGCGGAGGAACACCGGUGGCGAAGGCGGCCAACUGGGCAAUAACUGACGCUGAGGCUCGAAAGUGUGGGGAGCAAACAGGAUUAGAUACCCUAGUAGUC
rnacentral:rRNA from 1 species